rnacentral:rRNA from 1 species
GACGUAGGGCGCGAGCGUUGUCCGGAUUUAUUGGGCGUAAAGAGCUCGUAGGCGGUUUGUCGCGUCUGCCGUGAAAGUCCGGGGCUCAACUCCGGAUCUGCGGUGGGUACGGGCAGACUAGAGUGAUGUAGGGGAGACUGGAAUUCCUGGUGUAGCGGUGAAAUGCGCAGAUAUCAGGAGGAACACCGGUGGCGAAGGCGGGUCUCUGGGCCGAUACUGACGCUGAGGAGCGAAAGCGUGGUGAUCGAACAGG